CCCAGCUUGCUGGGUGGAUUAGUGGCGAACGGGUGAGGAACACGUGAGGAAUCUGCCUUCAACUCUGGGAUAACUCCGGGAAACCGGGGCUAAUACCGGAUACGAGAUCUGCAGGCAUCUGCGGAUCUGGAAAGUUUUUCGGUUGAAGAUGACCUCGCGGCCUAUCAGCUUGUUGGUGAGGUAAUAGCUCACCAAGGCGACGACGGGUAGCCGGCCUGAGAGGGCGACCGGCCACACUGGGACUGAGACACGGCCCAGACUCCUACGGGAGGCAGCAGUGGGGAAUAUUGGGCAAUGGAGGAAACUCUGACCCAGCGACGCCGCGUGCGGGAUGAAGGCCUUCGGGUUGUAAACCGCUUUCAGCAGGGAAUAAGCGAAAGUGAAGGUACCUGCAGAAGAAGCACCGGCUAACUAUGUGCCAGCAGCCGCGGUAAUACAUAGGGUGCAAGCGUUGUCCGGAAUUAUUGGGCGUAAAGAGCUCGUAGGUGGUUAGUUACGUCGGAUGUGAAAAUCAGGGGCUCAACCCCUGACCUGCAUCCGAUACGGACUAGCUAGAGUUUGGUAGGGGAGACUGGAAUUCCUGGUGUAGCGGUGGAAUGCGCAGAUAUCAGGAGGAACACCGAUGGCGAAGGCAGGUCUCUGGGCCAAUACUGACACUGAGGAGCGAAAGCGUGGGGGGCGAACAGGAUUAGAUACACUGGUAGUCCACGCCGUAAACGGUGGGCGCUAGUUGUGC
rnacentral:rRNA from 1 species